UACGAAGGGGGCUAGCGUUGUUCGGAAUUACUGGGCGUAAAGCGCACGCAGGCGGCUAUCCAAGUCAGUGGUGAAAGCCCGGAGCUCAACUCCGGAACUGCCAUUGAAACUGUUUAGCUUGAGUAUGAGAGAGGUGAGUGGAAUUCCCAGUGUAGAGGUGAAAUUCGUAGAUAUUGGGAAGAACACCGGUGGCGAAGGUGGCUCACUGGCUCAUUACUGACGCUCAGGCGCGACAGCGUGGGGAUCAAACAGG
rnacentral:rRNA from 1 species